GCUCAUGUAGCUCAGUCGGUAGAGCACUUCCUUGGUAAGGAAGAGGUCACAGGUUCGAUUCCUGUUAUGAGCA
rfam:Rhodanobacter sp. C03 NODE_1_length_1377755_cov_17.2423_ID_1, whole genome shotgun sequence.